GAUGAACGCUGGCGGCGUGCCUAAUACAUGCAAGUCGAGCGAACAGACGAGGAGCUUGCUCCUCUGACGUUAGCGGCGGACGGGUGAGUAACACGUGGAUAACCUACCUAUAAGACUGGGAUAACUUCGGGAAACCGGAGCUAAUACCGGAUAAUAUAUUGAACCGCAUGGUUCAAUAGUGAAAGACGGUUUUGCUGUCGCUUAUAGAUGGACCCGCGCCGCAUUAGAUAGUUGGUAAGGUAACGGCUUACCAAGGCAACGAUGCGUAGCCGACCUGAGAGGGUGAUCGGCCAGCCUGGAAGUGAGACACGGCCGAGACUCCUACGGGAGGCAGCAGUAGGGAAUCUUCCGCAAUGGGCGAAAGCCUGACGGAGCAACGCCGCGUGAGUGAUGAAGGUCUUCGGAUCGUAAAACUCUGUUAUUAGGGAAGAACAAAUGUGUAAGUAACUAUGCACGUCUUGACGGUACCUAAACAGAAAGCCACGGCUAACUACGUG
rnacentral:rRNA from 1 species